rnacentral:lncRNA from 1 species
AACUCUGAAGCUUGAUCAAUGAGAAUAUAUCUUUCAAGUAAAAUCCAGCAGUCCUUCAGAAUAAGUACAGAUGCUGUGAUUCUUCAAGCAGAAGUGUGCAGGGGUAUACUGCCCCCCUUCCUGUCCCCUCCAGGAUCAUAAUGGAGUCAGGGACUGUAUAGUUUGAAAACAGGCAUCAGUUUGUUGCAUGCUUUGAUUCUAUGUUAAUAACAAUAUUCAGUUUGUUCUGAAGUUUAUAGAACGUUAAAAGAAUGCAUGAGAUCAUGAUACAUAUCAAAGACAGACAUGUGUUUAAAAAUUUGAAGAACACCUUGCUAGAGAGAACUACUCAUUCCUUUUAGACUGUCUCUGCCUUUUAUCACUCACAAGAGCACAUAGGCACAGAUGCGAGACUUGUUUCUUGUAUGGUUCAUGGAGAAAACUAGAUAUCUCACUUAUUAAAGUAACACUUUUUAUAAGAGAAAAUAAUUUAAAAAUGCAUAAGUUAGACAUUUCUCUUGUAAUCAAAGAAUUCAUUUUUAAACCUCUAGGUACAAGUAAUGUAUCUUCUAAGGGAAAAUGUCAUCCCAAAUCACUUUAAUUAUUGGUUUAUUUUGACCUUCCUACUGACACUUCUGGGUCAUUUUCAUGACUUUUGGUCAGCUUGAUAUUAGGUUGUUAUAACAACCUACUGGUUAUGGUCUAGUAAAGCCCAGGCAUUCAGUGUCUUUAAAUGAUUCAUAGCUUCCUCCAGCACAAGACAGUUUUAUAAUAGUCAGGUAUCAAAUUUCUGCGUUAGCCCUCAGAUCUUUUCUGCAAUCUUGUGUUAAGCCUUGAUGUGUAUUCACCUACCUUUUCUCUUGUGGAAUUGAGUUGCCUUUUAUAAAGUGGAGACAUCUUGUAAGUAUCUCCUUUGCUCCUCUGUCGUUUCUAACUCCAGUCUGUUUCUGUCACAAUGGGGUAUAACCUCGAUUUCUAAAGGGACCAUGCCUUUCCACUCACCCAUUCAAAAGUAAAACAAAAUAUGUGAAAGGCACAUGAUUCAGGAGAUGGCUGAGCCAAAACCAGCAUUUGCUUAGUUCCUGAGAUGUACACUGGCUGGUCUUUCCAAACUAUAUGAUCUAGGUAGAUACUGAAAACAUUAAAUUCAUCGCAGUUAUAGUAUGGUAAUGAGAAGAAUCAGUUCUGUUUCAGCCUAUUCUGAUGGAAUCUUAUGAAAAUGUUUGUGACCUGGUUUGUGCAUAAUUGGGAGAAAGAGGAUGUUUUCGUUGUUCUGGUCAGGCUACAUGUUAACAGCUCAUCGCUGGCUAGUGCAUUGUAAAGUAAGGGUCAGAGGUCUCUGGAACUGCUUGUUUCUGGGUGUUGACAAGGUGGGGUUCAGGAAGAUGGCAUAUGAGAGCUCCAAAGUACCCUAACAUAGCUGUCAGGUUGGAGGACUAUGCCUGGUAAAUUUGAUGUGUCAGCCACCUGGUAAUUGGAUGUUGUUAUCUUAAUACUCCUUAUUAGAAUCUCUUUUUAAGUCUAUUUGCUAUAGUAAAUCAAGCUAACCCAGAUUUGGGGGUCCUAGUAUGACUUGAUAUCCAGGUAUUUGGAGGUAGUAUAAUAAGUUCAGUGUGCUAAUUCUGGAGGGAAGCUGCCUGGGUAUGAAUUUUGACCCUACUCGAGCUUGCCUUUGCAUCCUUGAGUUAGUCAUUUAACCUCUCAGAGAUACAGUUCUUUCCAGUUGUAAAAUACUUAUAAUAAUACCUAUAAUGUAUAUAAAGCCCAAAAGGUGCCUGAUACCUUGUUAUUGAUCAAUUGCCUUUCUUACUAUAACAAUAAUAAUAAUAGCAAUGACAGUUAUCAGUAUUGUUGUUAAAACAAAGGCCCCAGUAAGUAUACAUCAACUCCAUGACUUCAAGGAAGUGAGCUCUAUUGACACUGUAUCCUGUUAACUUACCUAUGGUGCUAAUUUAUGCAUUU